rnacentral:rRNA from 1 species
GGCUCAGAGUGAACGCUGGCGGCAGGCCUAACACAUGCAAGUCGAACGGCAGCGGGUAGGAAGCUUGCUUCCUAUGCCGGCGAGUGGCGAACGGGUGAGUAAUGCAUCGGAAUCUACCUGUCCGUGGGGGAUAACGUAGGGAAACUUACGCUAAUACCGCAUACGUCCUACGGGAGAAAGCGGGGGACCGAAAGGCCUCGCGCGGACAGAUGAGCCGAUGUCCGAUUAGCUAGUUGGCGGGGUAAUGGCCCACCAAGGCGACGAUCGGUAGCUGGUCUGAGAGGAUGAUCAGCCACACUGGGACUGAGACACGGCCCAGACUCCUGCGGGAGGCAGCAGUGGGGAAUAUUGCGCAAUGGGCGGAAGCCUGACGCAGCGACGCCGCGUGGGGGAUGAAGGCCUUCGGGUUGUAAACCUCUUUUACCACUCACGAAGGCC